rnacentral:lncRNA from 1 species
GUGUUCAUAACCUCUUUUGCAGUGUCUAUAUGACUCCUAUAUUUUGUAUUAUCCACACAAACUACAAAUUUUGAGAACAUUUCAUUUUUAUGGACGGAAAUAUGUCAUUAACAAUGAGUCUGAUUAUAUUCGCUUGGAGUAAGAAACGCAAGGAAUACAGUUUACUAAAGAUCUUCCGUCAAAACCAAAUUAAUAAAAGACAAAAUCAAAUUAGACAAAACGAAAGAAAACAAUUGACGCGGUAUCUGACUUGGGAUAGGCACAUGGACAUUUGACGGGGCUUCCAUUUUCUCUCUCUCUCAUUUUCGUACAAAAAUAACCCAGAACAAGAAUGUGUUCUCAGUACGUGUUCCCAUUACACGGAUGCCCCACUUGCAAUAUCAUUUUCUAUGUUAAAUGAGCCGUGAAAUUGGGAUAAAAACUCUAAUUUGGCAUUAAAAUUAGAAAGACCAUGUCAUAGGGAACAUGUGUACUAAGUUUCAAGUUAAUUGGUUUUCAACUUCAUCAAAAACUACCUUGACCAAAAACUUAAACCUGAAGCAAAACAAACGAUCGAACGAACGGACGGACGCACAGACCAGAAAACAUAGUGCCUCCUACUAUUGUAGGUGGGGCAUAAUAAGCACCUACCUCUGUAAUACCGGUAUUAAAGACAAUAAAUACACAAGUGGAAUCAAAGUAAAAUUAAAUCAAAUUGCAUCUAUCAAAGAAUGUCACCGCAAUUGAUAAUAAAUUGGUACAAUAUCGAAAUUUUAGAAAGGUUGAUAUUAUUAGGACGACGGUUGAGAAUUAAUGAACCCGAUAAUUUCUACUGUUUCAUUCUAAAGCAUCACACAUGGAAAAUAUAGUGAAGAAAGAGGUUAACCUACACAACAUUUUAAAGUUAUUGUAAUUUUCCCCACAAUUAUCGAUAAAUUGGUACUAUGCUCUUUUACAUAGCUAUUAUAUAAUAAGGACAAUAAAUACGGAUGAAUAAUGAGGCAGCAAGCAUAUCUGAUAUACUUGAAGACAAAAUAACACGUCUGCAUUAAGUUUGAAGAAGAUACAUGUACAAAUCUGAUAAUUGUUUAUUGAUUGACAAUGACAUUGCAAAGCGGGUGCUGGAUUACCUGUAGCACGAGAUGCUUACUUGUUGACCAAAAUUCACCAAAACUAAAGCCUAUGCCAGUACCAUAUUUAGCAUCCAAUCUAUUAUCAUUUCAUAAUGUAUAUAAGAUGUUAUUUUAUUAUUUUCCUUGAUAUAUUGUAAAUGAAUAUUUAUUUAUAGCAAUAAAUGUCAAAUGGAUGC